rnacentral:rRNA from 1 species
GACGAACGCUGGCGGCGUGCCUAAUACAUGCAAGUUGAGCGAUGAAGAUUGGUGCUUGCACCAAUUUGAAGAGCAGCGAACGGGUGAGUAACGCGUGGGGAAUCUGCCUUUGAGCGGGGGACAACAUUUGGAAACGAAUGCUAAUACCGCAUAACAACUUUAAACAUAAGUUUUAAGUUUGAAAGAUGCAAUUGCAUCACUCAAAGAUGAUCCCGCGUUGUAUUAGCUAGUUGGUGAGGUAAAGGCUCACCAAGGCGAUGAUACAUAGCCGACCUGAGAGGGUGAGCGGCCACAUUGGGACUGAGACACGGCCCAAACUCCUACGGGAGGCAGCAGUAGGGAAUCUUCGGCAAUGGACGAAAGUCUGGCCGAGCAACGCCGCGUGAGUGAAGAAGGUUUUCGGAUCGUAAAACUCUGUUGGUAGAGAAGAACGUUGGUGAGAGUGGAAAGCUCAUCAAGUGACGGUAACUACCCAGAAAGGGACGGCUAACUACGUG